rnacentral:lncRNA from 1 species
GCCAACGUUUGUCCACAUGAGAGGACUUGAAAACAUGUCAUGAAACUAUUCCAAUCAGGAAAAAAUAUCAAUAAGAUCUAAACAUUACUCUCUACCUCAACCUAAACCACGAAGGACAAGACCUUCAAGCGACUUAGAUCAAGGUGUCAUAAAGUAAACAUCGAGAUCUAAUCAAACCUUUCCCUAGUCAGAAUCAACAAGUGCCACAACACAUUCUCAAAC